rnacentral:tRNA from 1 species
UAUUAACAAAAAUUGGAUUAGUAAUGUCGGAAAUACCUAUUGAACCUCAAAGUACU